rnacentral:tRNA from 1 species
GGGGGCGUAGCUCAGUUGGUAGAGCACCUGCUUUGCAAGCAGGGGGUCGUCGGUUCGAAUCCGGUCGCCUCCA